UACGUAGGGUGCAAGCGUUGUCCGGAAUUAUUGGGCGUAAAGAGCUCGUAGGCGGUUUGUCGCGUCUGCUGUGAAAACCCGAGGCUCAACCUCGGGCCGCAGUGGGUACGGGGCAGACUAGAGUGCGGUAGGGGAGACUGGAAUUCCCGGUGUAGCGGUGAAAUGCGUAGAGAUCGGGAGGAACACCAGUGGCGAAGGCGGCUACCUGGACCAGCACUGACGCUGAGGUGCGAAAGCAUGGGGAGCAAACAGG
rnacentral:rRNA from 1 species